GUGUGUUAAUGAGCUAUCUCUUGAAUUUGUCCAUUGAUCGUGUCUCAGAAAUAUUUUCUCAUUGUUUCAUCACACUGAAACUUUGGCCAAGAAAUGUUUAAAAUUCAAAGCAUUGAUAUCAAUUUCCCCCCCUUUUUUUUUAAAGGCAACUUACAAGAUUAAAAUUAAAUUUGGUUGAUGAUGGUUCUGGACAAAUACAGCUCUUUUAUUUGAGGUAUGCCAUUUUGAAGACAGACCCGUGGAAUUUUAUCCUUGAGGAUAGGGGAAAUCUUUGUGAAAGUCUGUAUUUUAUAAAGCAAAAAGAAUAUAUCACUAAAGGUUGUCAGUGCAACAUAAAUUGUGUACUCAUUAUCUUGAGAAAGGGAUGAGAAAAAGCCCAUCAAAUUCUUUACCUUACAUCAAAGCAGUUUUGUGUUAAAACAUUAAAACAGUUGAUACAUGUAAUUUGUAACAGAGCGAUGAGACAUUUGAUGUUUCUCAAUCAAAUGGUGCUUUAGGGUUAUGGUUAAAUCAAUAGUUGAGUCAUCAGAAUUAUGUAUCUUUACAAUCUGAAAUGUACAUUCUGUAGACAUUUUUUUGUGAUGCAGAUUACAAAUGACCUAGAAUUUUGUAGUUGCAGCUCUUAUGAUUCUAAGGAACUAUAUUUCAAAAGCUAAAUACACUUUCAUAUUCUAGUUAUUAUGUAGUGAAUUUAAAAUUCUGAUUUUUUUUCUGUUUUUAUGAGUUCGCUUUCAAAUAGGCACAAAAAUAAGUAAGUUAUCUGAUAGGAAACUAGAAUAAUACGGCUGAGGAGACCUUGAAAAAUGUAGCUUAGUCUUUUUAAAGCAUAAGAAGGAAGAAAUAAUUUCAUAUGUGUGAUGUUUUGACAUCUUAAAGCUAGACAUAUGAAUGAAAAAAUAUGUACAAUGAAAAUUUUCAGGAAUUAUUUCCUACUCUUAAGUUAACACUAAAUGUGGAAAUAAAUGCCAAGCCAAUAUUAGCAAGGGAUUUACCAGAGGAAAUAUGUAAUAUAAUGAGAUAUCUUGGGAAAUUUUAAGAAUAGCCAAAUAACCAACUAGUUAACAUGAGGGCAGGUUUACCUUUGUGCUUGUAAUUUUUGUGGAAUAUCUUUUAUCUGUUGUUGUUGACUUAUUCUGUUGAUACAAAUAGGUGAUAAAAAGUAUUAUUUUUUUUACCUUUGCUUUAGCUUAAUUUUUGCCUUUCAGUCCUUUUGCAAUUUGACCAAAUUUGUGUUUAUUAUAGUGUGCAAAAGGAAACCAAAUGUUAGACCUUUAUACUUUUAAAAGAUGUAGCAUAUAUAGAAAAGUCAGUAUCUUUCAUCCUAAGUUUCUUUAAUACAAAUGUCAAGUUUAGGGUUUUCUCUGUGUAAAUGAUUGGAUAUUGGAUUGGCAUUCAGAUGUGGUUAGGCAUUGCUAUAAAAAUUGAGAAUUGAGCCUCUUAAGACACAAAUAUAUUUGAAAUUUAAUGUAAAUUUAAGCAUAAAUUGACAGUAAAUUUAUAAUCGCCUACCAGAGGUAUAAUUUGACCCAUAAAAAAAGAAUAAAGAAGAUUAGAAACAUUAAAUGAAGAUUAUCCUUUUUAGUCUAGUAUUAGUAAUUAUAAAAAUAACAAAUGAUACGGUAAGUUCUACAUUAAUGUAAUAGAAUACAGCUUUCUUUUUAUUAUCAACAAGGCAAAAGUAAUAAAUUACAUUUUAAAAAGAUCUGCAUGGACUUCUGAGCCAAGCUUGUAAAAUUUGCAAUGUUUUUGAUGUAUAAAAAUAGUGGAUUCAUGAGAAUAAAAUGAAGAUACUACUUUAAAUUACUAUAUUUCAUAAAUAAUUUACUUUGCUACCAUUUUCUGCUUAAGAGCCAGAGUGAUAAAUGCUUAAAUAUUUGUUUUUAUUUUAGCAUUUUGAAUCUUGAACCAUAAAAAUCACCUGAUCAAGUUGGUGAUUGGGUUGCAUUGCAUUUGUUAGUUAUAGUAAUAACUGUUUAAAAAAUUACCCAAAGUUCCACAGAAAUGAAAGAAACCAUGCCUGUAGUUAAUACAAGGUUGUUAUGAACUAUACAUGUCACUAAGAGGCUAGAUUAUAUGAAAUUAAUCUUGGAAGGCCGUUAGGCUUACCAUUAUACCAUCAACGUACACUGAAAUAGGUAAUUUUGAAUACAAAUUUUCUUUUAAGUUUAGUUUACUAUUACCCGAAGUUUCUUAUUUAAAAAUUUGGACUGUGGACAGCCAAUUAAUUUACCUUUUCUAUGAGAUUUAUACUUUUUUGAGAGGCUUAGGGGGAAAAAGAUAAUUUGAGGACCUCUCCAUCUCUUGCAUUGAUGAGAGGUGUGUGAUAGAGCAGAAAGUAUAACUCUGAUGCAGCAGUCAGGAGAGCUGGCUUCUAACCUAAAUUACCCUUGUGAUUUUGACGUUUUAUUCAUUGUGGCCCUUCUCUUAAUUUGUUUAAAGUAUUUGAAAUAUUCAAUUUCUUAUGAUACCUUUUUGGUCUCAAAUUGUGUGGUAAAAAUAAUAGAAUGUCUUGAUUCUCUUAAACUGCCUAAUUAUUUUUGUAGUUUUUGAAUUGCAAAUCAUGGUUGUUAUUUCUGUGGUGAAGUUAAUUUGAAUAACAAGACCUGGGUGAUAAUGUACCCAGCUUUCCUAAUUUUAGGCAUUCCAUAAUAUUAAUAAAUAGUAUAAAGCAGACAUAAUGGAAAGUUAAUCUUAAAAAGCAGUUAAGGUGUGAAAUUGUCUUUAAAAAACAAAGAUUUAGAAGGCUACAAUAAAAACAUUGUUUGAAUUUUUGCCUAGUUAUUUUAUUAAAUAAUUUAAAGAUUAGUGUAUUUAAGGUAAUUUGCACCUGACCAUCUGAUUAUAAAUGGUGAUUUAUAAUUUACAUGCUUGACAUAAUCUUUUUAAGAAGUUUCUAUUCUUCAAUGAUAAAUAUACCUCAUUUACCUUUUCCCUUACAGAUCGAGUGGCUCAAAACAGACAGUUUUCAUAUUGGCUGUUAGUGCUGAAUAUAGAUAAUUUUUAAAAUUUAAAUUCAAGGAUACUCUCAACUUUCUAAAGCAAAAACUGACUUUAUUUACGUAACAUUCAAGUAGCAUGUUUCUUACCGUUUGAUAAAGUUUUAUACAUUGUAUAAAGCUAGAUCCCUGUUUUAAAAGAUAGUUCUUUGUUUUUUGAAACUAUUCCAUUUAUUUGAAAUUGAAUAUUUCCUAAGCAAGCAAUUAUAUCCUUAAUGUGAUAGAGUCAUUUCAAUUUAGGUUAUUAAGCUAGAUAUUUUGCUUAACAUUAAUGGUUUGUGAGUUGUGAUGUUUUCUUAUAUAACUGUUAAUGAAUUUAUCACUACCUUAUUUUUGUGGAAGAUUUCUUAUAUUUCACAGUACUCUCAGGUUUAAUUCUUAAUUUAAAUGUAAAAAUUGUUUUAGGGACUUUAAAAGGUGACAAAAUCAGGAGUUCCCAUCGUGGUGCAGCAGAAACAAUCCAGCUAGGAACCAAGAGGUUUUGGGUUCGGAUCUCUGCUCUGUGGGUUAAGGAUCUGGCAUUACCAUGAGCUGUGGUGUACGUUGCAGAUGUUCAGACUUGGCGUUGCUGUGGCUGCUGUGGCAUAGGCUGGCAGCUUGGAUUGGAUCCCUAGCCUGGGAACCUCCAUAUGCUGUGGGUGCAGCCCCCCCCCAAAAAAAAGGUGACAAAAUAAAAUAUUCUUAGAUGCACAAAUGGGCUAGUAAUGGUAGGACUUGAUUCAGGCCAUCUUGUCUUUUAUUAUGACAAGCAAUCAAAAUUGUUAUUUGCAUUAUAGCUAUAAUUUCAUACUAAAUGAGGAUCUUUGAUACUGCAAAAUAUUAAAAAUAGGUAGGCAUGUGAGCAAAAUUAUCAACUUUGAUAGUUUGCUUAAUGUGAACUUGGUUUACCUCCCCCUUAAAAGGAGGGCUGAGUGGGCCGAGUACUGCUUUGUCAGUGUUUGGAAAGGAAAUUGUAUGGCAGGUUAAAUGGGUGUCAGUAAUCUUUGUGGUGGUACAAGAUGUGACCCAGGUCAUCUUCUGUUUUUGGUGGACUGAGCACCUUGAGCCCUAAUACUUGUACUGGUAGGUAGCCUUUUUUUCCUUUUUUUCUUUUUUUUAAAUUAGAGUACAGUUGAUUUACAAGUAGGUAGCUUUUUUGUAAGCAGGUUCUCAGACUGAUGUGAUAGAUUUCCCUCAGACUUUGCUUUCACCCAACAUUCCUUAGGUCAUUUCCACCCUUCUCUUGGGGUUUAUAUCAAUUUAUUUUACUUGGCUGAUUUAGAAUUUGUCUUUGUUCACAAACUUUUCUUUAUAAAGUCAGAUUAAAUUUGGAAGUUUAAGAAUAAAUAAUGCUGUGUUUCUUGUAAAUUGCUUCAUUAACUUCUUGGGAGGAUAUUUUAGCAUGUUGCUCUUAAAAGUAAUUUUGAAGCAGAUCUUUGCAAUAUUUCUUGGUUGUGAUUAGUCAAAAUGAUUAAAGGGAUUUAGAUUUGGUAAGAUAAUCAGGAAGUUGGCUUUAAAGUUUGAAAAUUGGAAACCUUAGUCAUGGAAAAGCAUUUGGGUAAGCAUAGUUUUAGAUUAAGUCCUAAACUUUGGCUUUCUAAAAAUCCUUACAUUGCUACACUUAAAUAGUGAACUUUUAAACAAAGCUUUUUGGGUAGUUCUAGCUAUUGUGAUUAUUAUGAUCAACUUAGGAGCAGGAGAGACUGAAAAAAGUGUAUACCUAUGUUCUCAAAAAUGUAUUUGAGAUGUAGGAAACAUCUUUCACAUGAGGUAUUUCAGUCUAACUAGUGAACUAACUAGUGAAGACUAUGGAUGUAUCCUGAUCAAGCAAAUAUUUUUAGGAAGGGUUAGUAUUGAGUAGGUCAUUGUAAGUAGUAGUACAAAAAGCUUGACAUUUUAAGAUUUCGAUCCUAGAACAGUGUUGAUUAGAGUACAUGAUAAUGUGAAAUAAUAUGGUAAUAUUAAGGAGUGAGUAAUACGGCCUUGCCAGGUUGGUAAUGGAAGUUUUCCUUUAGAAGUCUUAAAAGUAGAUUAGAUGAAAGACUAGAAAAUAAAGUAAUUCUGUGCUGUUAAGGAGUGAUAUUGGCUUUUAUAUUAAUCAGCUACCUCUCAGCUGCCCAUUAGAUCUACCUAAAGAGCCCAGACUUUACUAGGGAGUUCUUGGAGCAUGAGAAAUGUUUUUACUCUACAGGUGAGCCUUCUGAACAGUCAAAUUUAAGAUCCUCUGGAUUAGAACUUUGUUGUUUUGUUUUGUUUUGUUUUGUUUUGGAUUAGAACUUUUGGCUACAUUUAUAAAUGCACAUAUGUCUUGGUCUUUUGGAGAGUGAUCCUGAUAAGGUGUUGAAAUUUCCAAAUCUAUUUUUGUCUUUUUUGUAUGUGUACAAUUAUAUUCUUUUUGUUUUCUGCAGCAAUAUGAAUCCUGAGGCUGAAUUGUCUAAGGGGCCUGUACAGCGAAAUAGAUGUAAGUUUUACUCAAUUUACAUGUUUAAUUUGUUUUUUACUUUUACAUGUGACUUUGGAAAUUCUGAGUAAUUGAGUCAGAGUCUCUAAAAAUGUAGAAGAAUUUAGUGAAGUUCCAAGCAGUACAGAUAUAAAUCAACAUAGAUGUAUGUGGCUUAUUAUUAAAAUUUUGGUUAUUAUUCCAACCUCUUUUCCUUUCUUUACUUAAAGAGAGGUAUAAAUGGAUGGAAGGAAACUCACAUUUGAACAUUCUUCUAAUACUGCACCCUAGCUGUUGGUAAGCUCCCCAUUUUUAUAAAUAAAGUUUUAUUGGAACACAGCUAAGCUCUUUCAUUUACGUAUUAGCUGUGUCUGCUUUCUGACUACAGCUGCAGAGAGUAGAUUUAGCUAAUGGCCACAAACCCUAACAUAUUUAGUUAUUUAGUAUUUUAACCUGUAAGGAAAUCUUGCCUAUCCUUUCCCUAGAUUCAUCCUUUUUGUCAACUUUAUGUAGAACUCAAAAGCACUUGGAUUCUCUUAAUAAUGGGGGUGUACCUUUUACUUUGUUAGUAUUUCAUUGUUAGAAUUCAAAUAACAUAAGUAAUCAUGAGCUUGGCUUAAACUCCAAAGCCCAACAAAGGUUCUUUCACACCAGCAUUAUGCUUUAAUAUUAGAAGAUUUGGGGAGUUCCCGGUGUGGCACAGUGGAAAUGAAUCAACUAGUAUAGUAUCCAUGAGGAUUUGGGUUCUAUCCCCGGCCUCACUCAGUGGAUUAAGGAUUUGGAGUUGCUGUGAGCUGUGGUGUAGGCCAGCAGCUGCAGCUCUGAUUCGACCCCUAGUCUAGGAACUUCCUUAUGACACAGGUAUGGCC
rnacentral:lncRNA from 1 species